rnacentral:rRNA from 1 species
ACACUCCUACGGGAGGCAGCAGUGGGGAAUUUUGGACAAUGGGGGCAACCCUGAUCCAGCAAUGCCGCGUGAGUGAAGAAGGCCUUCGGGUUGUAAAGCUCUUUUGUCAGGGAAGAAACGGUGGUGGCGAAUAACUACUACUAAUGACGGUACCUGAAGAAUAAGCACCGGCUAACUACGUGCCAGCAGCCGCGGUAAUACGUAGGAUGCAAGCGUUAAUCGGAAUUACUGGGCGUAAAGCGUGCGCAGGCGGUUGUGUAAGUCAGAUGUGAAAUCCCCGGGCUCAACCUGGGAAUUGCAUUUGAGACUGCACGGCUAGAGUGUGUCAGAGGGGGGUGGAAUUCCACGUGUAGCAGUGAAAUGCGUAGAUAUGUGGAGGAAUACCGAUGGCGAAGGCAGCCCCCUGGGAUAACACUGACGCUCAUGCACGAAAGCGUGGGGAGCAAACAGGAUUAGAAACCCUAGUAGUCCCAUGA